AAGAGGAAAAAGAGAAAAAAAACCUAAAACCUAAGUAUUUCAGCAAGCCAAAAAAAAAUGAAAGGGGGAAGAGGGAAAGAGGGAAACGAUGGCCACAAUGCCUCGGUCUUAGCCGAUUUCGGCAUUCAUCGGUGCUCAACGCCUCCGCCGUGGUACCAGUCCAAAGCCACUCAAAUCGCAGGUAAGUUUUCUCCUCUAUUUUGCCCCCCUUUUUUGGUGUAAAAUGAUGAAGAAAUCAAUUGAAAUAAGUAAAAAGAACAGAGGGUUGAAAAGAGAAGGGAAAUCACCUUCUCAGUUUUUUUUGAUUGAUUGCUAUUAUCUCUGUGUUCGUACAAUAUGCGUUUUUUUAUUUCGUAACCGUUUACAAAGGAAGAUUUCCUGGCUUUAUAGCCGAAAAGAAAGAAAAUAAAUCAAUAAUAUAAAAAAAACACAAUAUUUUCUCUUUUGUUUCUAUUUGCUGCUGCUCUGUUUGUCUUUUUACAGGUACGGGUGCGCGUUCGGGUAUGGUGGUUUAGGCAUGGCAUGGCUACUGAGGCGCUAGCAUCGUACGGGGGCAGGAGGCUGCAGGGGUUGCUGCGGCGCAAGCAGAAGGAGAACCCUAGGGUUUUGUCUGUUCUAAAAGCAAUGGGCCUAUCGGGCUUGUAUUUCGGGUUUUGGGUUAUUGGGGUUAAUUUGGUUUGAUUUUGGGUUGGGCUUGUAUUUAUUAUUUUUUGAAUUUGGGCUAGAGGUCAUGUAACCGGAUAUUUUAAUAGAUAUUUAAUUAUUUUUUAUUUUAGAUUCUAGUUCUGCUUUGGGCCCGGGCAAAUUGGCCUGUCCAUAGUCUGCAUUCUUUGAAGUCUACUAAGUGUAGUAGUCACCUUACAUGCACCGAAUUUCAAGAUUUAUCGAGUACUAAAAUGCCCUCGAUUAACUGAAGGACGAAUGCUCAGGCGUAUUGUUCUUUGAUGACCUCGGUCACAUGCGGAGUAUGGUUUUAGAAAAAUUUCCCGACCAAUUCAUCAAUAUCCGGCCACCUUCAAACUUGUCCAGGACCUUCUCCAAUAAUGCCGCUUAGAGAUCCUCUAUACUGGGAACGAUCACUGUUUCUGUGACAACUGAUCCAUCCACCGAUAGACCGAGCUGUAAUGCCACGUCCUCCAGUGUGAUUGUAGACUCACCACAUGGAAGAUGAAAAGUGUGUGUCUCGGGCCUCCAUCUUUCCACCAACGCGCUGAUGAGUCUAGGAUCGAGUUUGAAGCCCCCAAGCAUACGAGACGUAUGAAAGAAUCUCGCCUCUUGCAAGUAACCAUGAAUUUCAAUUAUCGGAGGCUUUGCCAAAUUAUGUAUGAACGCC
rnacentral:lncRNA from 1 species